rnacentral:rRNA from 1 species
GUGACUCUUCGGAGUUUGCAUUGUUAAAUAUGCUAGUCCUUUCAUGAUUAUGUGAUAGGUGGUGCAUGGCCGUUCUUAGUUCGUGGAGUGAUCUGUCUGCUUAAUUGCGUUUCAAAUUACUUAUAAGGUAGCAAUACGCGAUGAAGCUUUCAAUAGUCCUCACGGAUUCACUUGAGUCUCUCGCUUCGCUAUCCUUUCGAAUGCAACGAACGUGACCGCAACCUCUUGUUGCCUUCGUUUAACAUCCUGCAGCUCGCUGUGGGUACUGAGGGCUUCACUCGGUGACUUUGGGCUGAGCAAUCGGUCUCUUUUGAUCUGAGUAAACUAGAGGGACCGCUGUCAACUUCUUAAACCAGAGGAAGGUUGCGGCAAUAACAGGUCUGUGAUGCCCUUAGAUGUUCCGGGCUGCACACGUGCUACAAUGAUCGUAGCAGUGAGCAUCUUAUUUGAUUUACUUAACACCGCAUACGUGAGUACCAACUAGCUUAGCAAUAAGUCAAGUAGUUCUCUACGCAGCGGUAACAGCCUGCUUCGAGAGCAAGUGGGUAAUCAAUUAGAAGUAACGAUUUCUUCGCAUUAGCACACUUAAUAUAAGGCGUUGACGCUCAUGAUUCGCUCUCACGAGUGUUUCAUUGCACGUGUUGAUGUGCGGGUUCGAUUCCUGCUUUACCUUAUGUGCAAUUGUCAAUUCAUGGUGGGGACAGACCAUUGUUAAUUGUUGGUCUCGGUCUUAACUAGGAAUGCCUUGUAUGAUCUUUGGUUCAACAAACCACUCA